rnacentral:rRNA from 1 species
AGAGUUUGAUCCUGGCUCAGAAUCAACGCUGGCGGCGCGCCUAACACAUGCAAGUCGAACGCGAAAGGGCCCUUCGGGGCUUGAGUAGAGUGGCGGACGGGUGAGUAACACGUGGAUGACCUGCCCCCGGGAGGGGGACAACCCCGGGAAACCGGGGCUAAUACCGCAUACGCCGGCGGCCGUAGGGGCUGUCGGGAAAGCGCAUGCGCCCGGGGAGGGGUCCGCGGCCGAUUAGCUGGUUGGCGGGGUAAGGGCCCGCCAAGGCGACGAUCGGUAGCCGGCCUGAGAGGGCGCGCGGCCACACUGGCACUGAGACACGGGCCAGACUCCUGCGGGAGGCAGCAGUGGGGAAUCUUGGACAAUGGGGGCAACCCUGAUCCAGCGACGCCGCGUGACCGAGGAAGGCCCUCGGGUCGUAAAGGUCUUUCAGCGGGGACUAUGGUGAAGGUACCCGCAGAAGCAGGAGCGGCUAACUACGUGACAGCAGCCGCGGGAAUACGUAGGCUCCAAGCGUUGUACGGAAUCACUGGGCGUAAAGCGAGCGCAGGCGGCGCGCCGUGCCGGUCGUGAAAUCUCCCNGCUCAACCGGGGAGGGGGCGGNCGGGACUGGCGGGCUAAAGUGCGGCAGGGGAAGGCAGAAUUCCUGUUGUA